CCUACGGGGGGCAGCAGUGAGGAAUAUUGGUCAAUGGGCGGGAGCCUGAACCAGCCAAGCCGCGUGAGGGAAGAAGGUACAGCGUAUCGUAAACCUCUUUUGUCAGGGAACAAAGGCUGGGACUAGUCCUCGGAUGAGGGUACCUUAUGAAAAAGCAUCGGCUAACUCCGUGCCAGCAGCCGCGGUAAUACGGAGGAUGCGAGCGUUAUCCGGAUUUAUUGGGUUUAAAGGGUGCGCAGGCGGCCUGUUAAGUCAGCGGUAAAAGCCCGGGGCUCAACCCAGACGAGCCGUUGAAACUGGGGGGCUGGAGUUGGCUAGAGGUAGGCGGAAUGCGUGGUGUAGCGGUGAAAUGCUUAGAUAUCGCGCAGAACCCCGAUUGCGAAGGCAGCCUGCC
rnacentral:rRNA from 1 species